rnacentral:rRNA from 1 species
AGUGAACGCUGGCGGUAGGCCUAGCACAUGCAAGUCGAACGGCAGCACAGUAAGAGCUUGCUCUUACGGGUGGCGAGUGGCGGACGGGUGAGGAAUACAUCGGAAUCUACUUUUUCGUGGGGGAUAACGUAGGGAAACUUACGCUAAUACCGCAUACGACCUACGGGUGAAAGCAGGGGAUCUUCGGACCUUGCGCGAUUGAAUGAGCCGAUGUCGGAUUAGCUAGUUGGCGGGGUAAAGGCCCACCAAGGCGACGAUCCGUAGCUGGUCUGAGAGGAUGAUCAGCCACACUGGAACUGAGACACGGUCCAGACUCCUACGGGAGGCAGCGGUGGGGAAUAUUGGACAAUGGGCGCAAGCCUGAUCCAGCCAUACCGCGUGGGUGAAGAAGGCCUUCGGGUUGUAAAGCCCUUUUGUUGGGAAAGAAAAGCAGCAGGUUAAUACCCCGCUGUUCUGACGGUACCCAAAGAAUAAGCACCGGCUAACUUCGUG